UACGAAGGGUGCAAGCGUUACUCGGAAUUACUGGGCGUAAAGCGUGCGUAGGCGGUUCGUUAAGUCCGUUGUGAAAGCCCUGGGCUCAACCUGGGAAUGGCAGUGGAUACUGGCGAGCUAGAGUGUGAUAGAGGAUGGUGGAAUUCCCGGUGUAGCGGUGAAAUGCGUAGAGAUCGGGGAGGAACACCAGUGGCGAAGGCGGCCAUCUGGAUCAACACUGACGCUGAGGCACGAAAGCGUGGGGGAGCAAACAGGGAU
rnacentral:rRNA from 1 species